UGUUCAGUAUUUAUUUGCUUCCUCAAAAUUAGUUAGUCCACAAUUUUCUUUAGUUUAAUGAGCACCGCCUGAUAAAAAAAGGAAGAAAUAUAUAUACUUUAACACAUUUUUCAUUACUCCAGUAAUAAGAUUAGUGACAAAUUCAGAACUAUAAUUUCUACUUACUCACGUUUACUUCUUGGGAUAUUUAUUGCAAACUAGAGGACUUAAACCUUUUUUCAUAUAUUAUGUAAUAUAGUUCCUCAUGCUAUAAAACUAAAUUGAGGCACAUAAUAGUAACCAAAUGCUUUAAAAACCAAAAGUGAGACUCUAAAAUUAUAUGAGCAGGAAAUAUAUAAGCAUAAGAAAGAAACCAUCAGGAAAAAAAAUUAAUAUUAGAACAUGACAAAAUAGACAAGGAAACAUCGACAAACAAAUAUCAUUCGAGUCUAAAGCAAGUAUCUACUAAUAUUUAAUGUGCCUUUAAUCAUUAAUCAAGAAAGGGCUGAGCUAUAUUCUAUUUAAAUUAUAAUCAAACUCAUAAUGUAUCCUCAGAAUCAAACUCGUCCUCCUCUUAUUCAAACUCAUCCUCUGUUUCAAGCUCGUCUUCUGAUUCAUUGCAAAUCUGUAAUAAAAAGCACAUUAAAACAUCUCGUUCAAUUGGGCAGUAAUAACUCUAAGUUUGAAAUCAAUAUCAUGCAAUAGAAGUUAGAUAAUUGCCACUGUAAAAGUAACUCCAACGUCUCUUAGGUACACAUAGGACCAUAUAUCCAUCAAACCAUACUUUCGAACCAGAUUAAGAAGUGAAUAUACAUAUAAAAAAGGAUAUUAAAAGUGUUAAAACCUGAUAACUUCAAAUAAGUGUUAAACCUGAUAACUUCAAAUAAACAAUCACUAUAUAACUACACUGAAUUUGCAAAAAAUAAAGGUGAAUAAUAUAAAAAUUUAGAAAUUGAAAAUACCCAAAUUCACAAUAUGAGGCAAAAAGUGGAUUCAAAAAUCUGGAAUAAUUUAGUUUCUAGCUAUUCAAUGAUUGUGAUACUUACCUAACUACAUUGUCUUCGUUUGCUAUUCAUCAUGCUACAGGAAUCUAUACUUUCUUUUCCACCAUUAUUAUUUACAAAGUAAACUUUAAAUAGUCUAUCAAGAAAUAUAACUUUUUGCAACAAAAAUAUUAACUACCUAAAAAGAUAAAGAUCGCCAAAAUGCAAGAUCAUAAAUUGGGAAAGUAAAGAGUACCUAUUAGAGACUUUUUCAUGAGAUGAGUUUUAUCUAAAUUAACUUUGUAGAGGCUUGUUCAGUUCUUUCUUUCUUGGGAUUAGAAAAUUAAAGAAAACAGAGAUGGCCAGAAUAUAACUAGAUCUAAAAGCCUGAGAACUUACAAUUCUAAAAGAAAUAGAAGAACAGC
rnacentral:lncRNA from 1 species